UAUACUCCAUUUUUCCCUCUUCACCGAGAUUUUACUUCUCUCCAUUCCAAUCUUCAAUUCAUUUGAGAAAACCCCAAUUGGAGAGUGAACAGCGGCGCCCAUCUCUCUCUCUCGUCCUCGCGCUCGCCGGCAAUCGCAAUCUCCAGCGUCGCCGGGACUCCCCCCUCUUUCGCACUCCCCAUCUCCGACUCCCUUCCGACCGGCGUCGGGUCUUCUUUCGCUUCGCAUCAGCAGAGAUCACCGAUGCUGCUUGCGUCGUCGAGGCUGGACAGCGCCGCUGCUGUUCGUCACUCCUCAACACCGCCGUGCAUCGCCUCGCAGCGCGGCCCUCUGUCGCCACUGGUUCGUCGCUGCCUCGUGGUGAUUUUCGGGGCUCCGUCGUCACUCGGCUUCCGCCAACAGCCUUACGCACUAAGCUAAGUCCUCUCCCCCAUUUCCCCUUCUAUCAAGUCGUGAUUUAAUUCAGAUUUCGAGUUAUGGCAGCAUGAUCCGUCGGAAACUGUGACUAUGUUGUUUUUCCUCAUGUUGUGAUAUUGUUGGGAAGGGUUUGUUCUACAGUUCAAUCACCACUUGGGUGUUUAUUGCUACUGUUCUCUUUUCAAACUUGGUGUGAGGAUGCUAUGGAAAAGUUCUAAGUUCUUGUGUUCCUUAAUCGUCCUGCAUGAUGCAUAUAUGGUGUUGAGGUGUUUACCUUGCUUGUGAAUUCUUUCGGCUUGCCCUUCCUACUGCUGCCGCUCCGCGCCGCCGCUCCUCACUCCGUCGCACUCCUUGCCUUGCAAAAAUUUUGACAGAAUGUAGUUGUGGAGUGGGGAAGGGGACGGUGGUAUUUAUAGGCAAAAUACUUUGGCAUCUUGUGGCAGAAUCUUGGGCCUUGAGCUCCUAAUUUUGGCUACAAUUUAGCUCCCUUUUUGAGCUUUAUAACAAUGUUGAUCAUGCUAAAUUGGUGUAUAUUUGGGGCUGCUCUCCUCGGUUGUCCUUCCAGCCUUGGUGAUGAAAUUUCUCUUGCUCCAAUGAGCUUGGUGGUGGAGCUUACUUUACUGGGGCCUUUCAUCUUGAUCCCCUUUUGAUGAUACUUGCAACAAAACAGAUUGGCUGACUUACAGCCUUGAUUUAGGAUCCUCAAGAUGUCCUUGGCUGCCACAAAAUUUUUUUUGGAGUCUUAUGGUGCCAAAACCGAGAAGGAAGGAGAUGGAGAAAGGGGAAGAAAAUCCAUCCUUGUGCCGCCUUGGUUUCUAUACCAAUUUAGGAUAUUUUCUAGAAUUCUAUUACUAGAGGUGGAAGAAGGGAUGAUGUAGUGUAGACAUGUGAAGUCUCUUUCACAUAUGAAAACUUGUACAACUUGUAUUGUCUUUUUCAUGUAUUAUUAGCAUUUCUAGUAUCCAUGAAAUUGUAUUUCCAACUUGCUUUUCAAAUAAACAUGACUUACUCUUUAUUCUUGAAAA